GACUAUAUUUGCUAAUAUAUGAUGAUUUUGAUGUCGGGUUGGUGUUGAUCGCAGCGGGAGUUCAACCGACCUUUGGGUCAUCCUUGGUUGGCUUUGGGAAGCCUUUAGAGACUUAAUUGGAGGUACUAAAGUGAACCAAAACAGCGAUUUAUGUUACUACUUAAUACGAGAUGUGAAUUGAGCCGAAAUCGGACAUUUCGGCCGUAGAAUUAAUCCGAUCUUGACGUUUGUUUUUCAGCAGCAGUGGGGUUUCAUUGAGCCGUUUGGGGGACUUCUUGUGAAUAGUUGGAGCCUAGUAACAGGUGGGUCGGACCUAACCAGAGCAGGUGAAACUCCUCUAUGUUCUAUAUGUAUUAUAGAAAUGGUCUUAUUGUGUGCUUAUGUGAUUGUUAAAGGGCUCGGAACUCGUCAUCAUGACGUUUGUCAUAUGUGAAUGAGCGUUCAUGCAUAAAAGUACUCAUGCAUUCAAGUAUCUUUGUUUUGUUCAGUAGAACAACUAAGAAUUCAGUUUAUUAUGUUUCUAUGAUAUAGAGAACAUAUAUACAUGAAAGUAUUUACAUUUAUAUUCAAUUCAGUUGAAUGACUUAUGAACAAGUGUAGGAUGCACUUUAAAGUAGAGAACAAUGACAUUCUCUUGACUCGAACGUAGAGAACUAUGACAUGCUCUGGACUAUGUUGAUAGUGCCAUACUAGUGAAAAGAUUAUAAUGCUAUGUGAUUUAGCUUUACCCUUA
rnacentral:lncRNA from 1 species